rnacentral:rRNA from 1 species
GAUGAACGCUGGCGGCAUGCCUAACACAUGCAAGUCGAACGAAAUAUUUUCGAAUAUUUAGUGGCGGACGGGUGGGUAACGCGUAAGAACCUGCCCAAAGGUGGGGGAUAACAACUGGAAACGGUUGCUAAUACCCCGUACACUGAAAAGAGAAAGCUGAGAAGCGUCUUUGGAGGGGCUUGCGUCUGAUUAGCUUGUUGGUGAGGUAAAAGCUUACCAAGGCAACGAUCAGUAGCUGGUUUGAGAGGAUGAUCAGCCACACUGGGACUGAGACACGGCCCAGACUCCUACGGGAGGCAGCAGUGAGGAAUUUUCCGCAAUGGGCGAAAGCCUGACGGAGCAAUGCCGCGUGGAGGAAGAAAGCCUGUGGGUUGUAAACUCCUUUUCUUAGACAAGAAGAUAUGACGGUAUCUAAGGAAUAAGCAUCGGCUAACUCCGUGCCAGCAGCUGCGGUAAGACGGAGGAUGCAAGCGUUAUCCGGAAUUAUUGGGCGUAAAGCGUCUGUAGGUGGUUUACUCAGUCCGCUGUGAAAGAUCAGGGCUUCACCUGG